AAGCGUCCGUAGCUCGUUUCGUAAGUCUUUGGUUAAAUUCGGCGGCUCAACCGUCGAUCCGCUGAAGAUACUGCGAAACUUGGGACCGGGAGAGGUUGGGGGUACUUUCGGGGUAGGGGUGAAAUCCUGUGAUCCUGGAAGGACCAUCAGUAGCGAAGGCGCCCAACUAGAACGGGUUCGACGGUAAGGGACGAAAACUGGGGGCGCGAACCGGAUUAGAUACCCGGGUAGUCCCAGUCGUAAACGAUGUGGGCCUGGUGUUGCAAGCUCUACGAGGGCUUGCAGUGCCGAAGGGAAGCCAUUAAGCCCACCACCUGGGAAGUACGGUCGCAAGGCUGAAACUUAAAGGAAUUGGCGGGGGAGCACCACAAGGGGUGAAGCCUGCGGUUUAAUUGGAUUCAACGCCGGACAUCUCACCGGGGGCGACAGCAGAAUGACGGUCAAACCGAUGAUCUUACCUGACGCGCUGAGAGGAGGUGCAUGGCCGCCGUCAGCUCGUACCGCGAGGCGUCCUGUUAAGUCAGGCAACGAGCGAGACCCACGCCCCUAGUUGCAACCGUUCUCUCCGGAGGGCGGGCACUCUAGGGGACCGCAAUGGAUAACAUUGAGGAAGGAAUGGGCGACGGUAGGUCCGUAUGCCCCAAUAUCUCCCGGGCUACACGCGGGCUGCAAUGGCUAGGACAGUGGGAUGCAACCCCGAAAGGGGAAGCCAAGCCCUUAAACCUAGUCUUAGUUCGAAUCGAGGGUUGAACUCACCCUCGUGAA
rnacentral:rRNA from 1 species